rnacentral:rRNA from 1 species
UCGCUAGUAAUCGUGGAUCAGAAUGCCACGGUGAAUACGUUCCCGGGCCUUGUACACACCGCCCGUCACACCAUGGGAGUGGGCUGCAAAAGAAGUGGGUAGUUUAACCUUCGGGAGGACGCUCACCACUUUGUGGUUCAUGACUGGGGUGAAGUCGUAACAAGGUAGCGCUAGGGGAACCUGGCGCUGGAUCACCUCCUUA